GGUGGAAGUGUGGUAACACAUGGAGCUGACUGUUACUAAUCGGGUGAGGGCUUGACCAAU
rnacentral:rRNA from 1 species